AAAAAGCAUCUUCAGAAUAAGCUGUUGUUCUUCAUGUUCCACACUGACCGCCAGUAUGAUUAUACAACAAGAAAAUACUAGUGGUGUCACGAUUCGAUCUGACUUUUUUUAACAGGGACGGCAAUGCCACAAUAAGAGCCGCGAGAUAACAGAAGGGUACUUUCUACUACAACAAUUUAAGUUUCUCAGAGUCCCGUCGGAGCCCACAGACUUAACCUUCGUUGUUUGUUUUCAUAACUCACUCUCAGGGAAGGCUAAAUGUUGCCACACGGUGACUUCAGGGAAGCUGGAGGACUUUCCAGUUCUGUUUAGGGUUUUUGGCA